AGCAGCCGCGGUAAUUCCAGCUCCAAUAGCGUAUAUUAAAGUUGUUGCAGUUAAAAAGCUCGUAGUUGAAUUUCGGGAUCAAUAUGUUUGGUCGUGCCUCGGUACGUACUAGCAUAUUGGUUUCUCCUUUCUGAAGAACCAUGAUGUCAUUUAUUUGGUGUCGUGGGGAAUCAGGACUGUUACUUUGAAAAAAUUAGAGUGUUUAAAGCAGGCUCACGCUUGAAUACAUUAGCAUGGAAUAAUGAAAUAGGACGUUUGAUUCUAUUUUGUUGGUUUCUAGGAUCGACGUAAUGAUUAAUAGGGAUAGUUGGGGGCAUUAGUAUUCAAUUGUCAGAGGUGAAAUUCUUGGAUUUAUUGAAGACUAACUACUGCGAAAGCAUUUGCCAAGGAUGUUUUCAUUAAUCAAGAACGAAAGUUAGGGGAUCGAAGACGAUCAGAUACCGUCGUAGUCUUAACCAUAAGCUAUGCCGACUAGGGAUCGGCUGAUGUUAAUUUUUAAUGUA
rnacentral:rRNA from 1 species